GCCAAGUGUGGUGGUGCGCAUUUGUAGUCCCAGCUACUCAGGAGGCUGAGGCAGGAGGAUCACUUGAACCCAGGAGGUUGAGGCUGCAGUGAGCCGAGAUUGCACCACUGCACUCCAGCCUGGGUAACAGAGUGAAACCCUGUCUCAA
ensembl:misc_RNA Metazoa_SRP Metazoan signal recognition particle RNA